rnacentral:rRNA from 1 species
AUUGAACGCUGGCGGCAGGCCUAACACAUGCAAGUCGAGCGGAUGAAGGGAGCUUGCUCCUGGAUUCAGCGGCGGACGGGUGAGUAAUGCCUAGGAAUCUGCCUGGUAGUGGGGGAUAACGUCCGGAAACGGGCGCUAAUACCGCAUACGUCCUGAGGGAGAAAGUGGGGGAUCUUCGGACCUCACGCUAUCAGAUGAGCCUAGGUCGGAUUAGCUAGUUGGUGGGGUAAAGGCCUACCAAGGCGACGAUCCGUAACUGGUCUGAGAGGAUGAUCAGUCACACUGGAACUGAGAUACGGUCCAGACUCCUACGGGAGGCACCAGUGGGGAAUAUUGGACAAUGGGCGAAAGCCUGAUCCAGCCAUGCCGCGUGUGUGAAGAAGGUCUUCGGAUUGUAAAGCACUUUAAGUUGGGAGGAAGGGCAGUAAGUUAAUACCUUGCUGUUUUGACGUUACCAACAGAAUAAGCACCGGCUAACUUCGUG